CUUAUGUAUCUACUGUACUGAUAGUAGUAGGUAGGGCAUCCAUCUUCCAAUACCUUCUGAAAUAUAUAGUAUCUUUUUUUUAGCGGGGGUUUUCUUUUUUAUUUCAAUUGAUUAGGAACGUGAGUUUUUGUUUUGCCUUCAAUUGGCAUUUGGCCAGAAAAUUUUCAGCCUCAUUGAAUUUCUUCUUGAUUUUCCUUAGCCUCUUCUCUCUCGCCCACAGCUUCAGUUUCUUCGUCUUCGUUUUGUUCUCGUUUUCCUUUUCACUACAUUUUAGCAAAUGACUUUCUUGGCAAAAACUUUUAAAUUUGUUGUAUCAUCUAUUUUUAAUGUCAAACCGUAGGCGGCAGUGAAGGAGGAAAAUCGAGAUACAAAAGAUAGAGGGAGAGAGAGAGAGAGAGAGAGAUACAAUCAUCGAAUGAGUCAAAUGGAAUUUCCUUGCCUUGUUUCCCCUGUGUUCCUGUCGCUGUCCUGUUCUAUUACCAAGUUCUCACAUGCAGGUGAAAUUUUAAAUUUGUAUACUGGAAAAUGUAUGACAUAAGGAGAUCGAAAAGUUCUACAAAUCAAAGGAUUCCGCGGACCUUGAGAAGGUUUUCUUCUGUGGGCUACAAUCGAGUCAUCAAUGGCCCUGAUUCCCCAUGACAGGUCCACACCUUUCCCUCCAAAUCGAACACAAUAUUUCCAAGAACUCUAAAAAAUAUUCCCAAUCGCAGCAGUCAUUGGGAUUGCCAUUUUGGGGACUGACAGAUUGAGUAGUAUUUAUAUUUCAGUCCCAAAACAGAUUGUGUAGCGUAAAUACAUAUAUUUUAAUCAAAAUUUUUUUAUUCCGUUCUAAGUGGCAAAAUUUCUAGUGUGUUAAGUUUUCGGCUGUACCGCGUCACGUUCUUUAUGCUUUUAUUUUAAUAAAAAAGUGCAAUAAAAUCCAAAAAAAAAAAAGAGAAAAAAAUAAAAAUAAAAAAAAAUAUACAUAAAUGCAAGAAAAAUACAAUAGACCCAGGAUCUACAAUACAUUCGAAAGAAGGUGCAUCCGAAAUUCAGCAGAAAGUAAAAUAGCCAUAAUAAAUGCAAUUAUAGACUUAAGCCACUUGAUUUUGGAUUUAGAAUAAGAUAUAUAUGGUAUUAAGGUCUUGGAGGUAUCAGUGGAGUGGUAAGAAUAUAGAGGAUUACAUUUAGAGCUCCUUUAAGAGUGGAAAUUUAGCUGGAAAAAUAUGUCUUCUGUCUUGUGCCAUGGCGGUUACUACAGAUAGGAAA
rnacentral:sRNA from 1 species